UUGAUUAGGCUACCUAGUGGCGGACGGGUGAGUAACGCGUGAGUAACCUGCCUUGGAGUGGGGAAUAACAGUCCGAAAGGACUGCUAAUACCGCAUGAUGCAGCGAGGUCGCAUGGCCUUGCUGCCAAAGAUUUAUCGCUCUGAGAUGGACUCGCGUCUGAUUAGCUGGUUGGCGGGGUAACGGCCCACCAAGGCGACGAUCAGUAGCCGGACUGAGAGGUUGGCCGGCCACAUUGGGACUGAGACACGGCCCAGACUCC
rnacentral:rRNA from 1 species